AGGAAAAGAAACUAACAAGGAUUCCCCUAGUAACGGCGAGUGAAGCGGGAAGAGCUCAAAUUUGAAAUCUGGUAGCCUUCGGUUGCCCGAGUUGUAAUCUAGAGAAGUGUUUUCCGUGCCGGCCCAUGUACAAGUCCCUUGGAACAGGGCGUCAUAGAGGGUGAGAAUCCCGUCCUUGACAUGGACCCCCGGUGCUUUGUGAUACACUUUCAACGAGUCGAGUUGUUUGGGAAUGCAGCUCAAAAUGGGUGGUGAAUUCCAUCUAAAGCUAAAUAUUGGCGAGAGACCGAUAGCGAACAAGUACCGUGAGGGAAAGAUGAAAAGCACUUUGGAAAGAGAGUUAAACAGUACGUGAAAUUGUUGAAAGGGAAACGAUUGAAGUCAGUCAUGCUCUUGGGACUUACCUCCCUUGAGUGGGGUCAACAUCAGUUUUGAUCGAUGGAUAAAGGCACGGGGAAGGUAGCACUCUCGGGUGAACUUAUAGCCUCGCGUCAUAUACAUUGAUUGGGACUGAG
rnacentral:rRNA from 1 species